rnacentral:piRNA from 1 species
UACCAGAACGCUCCUUUGGUUACCUACU